rnacentral:rRNA from 1 species
GACGAACCGUGCGAACGUUGUUCGGAAUCACUGGGCUUAAAGGGCGCGUAGGCGGCCGGGUUGGUCGUGGGUGAAAUCCCCCAGCUUAACUGGGGAAUUGCCUACGAUACGGCCUGGCUCGAGGGAGGAAGGGGCGGCCGGAACUGUCGGUGGAGCGGUGAAAUGCGUUGAGAUCGACAGGAACGCCGGUGGCGAAAGCGGGCCGCUGGCCCUCUUCUGACGCUGAUGCGCGAAAGCCAGGGGAGCGAACGGG